CCACUUGGAGGCCAAAUGACAUGUCCCAGCCAACAGUCAGCACCAACUGCCAGGCUUGUGAGAGAGGCCAUCUUGGACCCUCUAGCCCCAGUCAAGCUGCCAAAUGACCACAGCCAUAUGACUGACAGCAGCAGAAAAAAUGCCCAUCCUUCCCUCAGAAUUGUAAAACAUUGGAGACUUCUUUUCUGUUUAUGCCUUUCUUCAUUUUGAAGCUGAACCUUUGCUGCCUUCUGCUCUGCUUCGGAAAGAAGAUUAGGACGUCUACACAAACAAGCUCUUAUGGUCAGCGAGCUGUGAACACCUAAAGUUCAUCACAUUUUCAGCUGGUGGUUAUUAGAAAUUGGCAAGACAAUCAAAAAUAAUUUGAAAAAACUACAUUAUGAAAAGAGAACCUCAAUUUUAAGCAUGAUCUUUGAGAAUUUGAGUUGUUGACUUGAAUUGCAUCUCAGAAUUUAAUACAUCCAGCCCCAAGUCUUACUGUUCAAUAGUAAUCAAAAGUUCGUUGAGAGAGACACUACUUAGGAAGGAUUGCUUGAAGAAUGUGAAGUUUAUUAUGAAGAAGUUUUUCCAGAUUAUCCAGUUUCCUUGGGAUCAAGUAGGUUGAAAUGAGGUCCUGAACUUUUGCCCUAUAGAUGAAGCUUUUGGCCCAAGGAUGCUCUGGGGCUCCUGGUUCUUGUUGACCUAAAUGAUGUGAGUAAGAUUAUCUGCUUACAAAUCUGGGCCAGGUGAAGACAGAGAUGUAA